rnacentral:tRNA from 1 species
GCCCGCAUGAUGGAAUUGGUAGACAUAACGGACUUAAAAUCCGUGGGGAGUUCAUCCCUUGCCGGUUCAAGUCCGGCUGCGGGUACCA